GGAAACUUGGCAGAGUUGGUUUAAUGUAGCAGUCUUGAAAACUGUCGGGUGUAAAAGCUCCGUGGGUUCGAAUCCCACAGUUUCCUCCA
rnacentral:tRNA from 1 species